rnacentral:misc_RNA from 1 species
GUGAAGAACUCAGCGAAAUGCGAUAAGUAAUGUGAAUUGCAGAAUUCAGUGAAUCAUCGAAUCUUUGAACGCACCUUGCGCUCUUUGGUAUUCCGAAGAGCAUGCCUGUUUGAGUGUCAUGAAAAUAUCAACCUUGACUUGGGUUUUGUGCUCUAGUCUCGGCUUGGAAUUGGGUGCUUGCCGCUUUUACGAGCGGCUCACCUUAAAUGUAUUAGCUGGAUCUGUCUUUGAGACUUGGUUUGACUUGGCGUAAUAAGUAUUUCGCUAAGGACAUUCUUCGGAGUGGCCUCGUUUCUAGGACGCUUGUCCGCUUUCCAAUACAAGUUCCACCUCGUGGACAUGACUUUUUAUUAUCUGGCCUCAAAUCAGGUAGGACUACCCGCUGAACUUAAGCAUAUCAAUAAGCGGAGGA